rnacentral:lncRNA from 1 species
GUCUGAUCAACGUCAGUCUAUAACUGUACACCUGAAUGUGGCCCAGUGGGGCCUGUCUGGGACCUGUCUGAUCAACGUGGGAAACACACAACAAAUGAAAACCACGAUCCAGAUGUCGCUGACCAAAGAAGAGUACACUUGGUUUUCAGACUUCCUGAAAUUCAAGCACUUCCUCCCAGGGGGAAAGAAAGCCCGGCACUUUUUUUUUCAAUUCCACCAACACUGAGAUCAGGAAUCUACCGGUCUACCUGAAAGAGGCGUGGAAGGAGAUGGGCCUGCCUGAAAGCCCUAACUUCACCGAGCUGCGGACUUCCAUCGUCAGUCAUGUCAAAAACGUUCUCCCGAAUGCCGACAGGGAAAUGCUGGCUGACUUCAUGUGCCACGACAGCCAGAUGAAAGACAAACGUUACGCGAUGAAUCCUUCCAAAGCCGGUGAAACCAGCGCCUUCCUUGAGACGGCGUCGAAGGGAGAAGAUACCGCACCACGGGCACCGCAGAGAACCAACCCUCCACCUCCAGAAAGAGGAAGACGAGAGAGGGCGAAUCCGUCUCCGAAUGGAGCACCACUCCUGAAGAGAUCGAGGUGCAGGACGGGGAGGACCAGGAACGAAGCACCAACCCUGAAGAGAUCGAGGUGCAGGACGGGGAGGACCAGGAACGAAGCACCAACCCUGAAGAGAUCGAGGUGCAGGACGGGGAGGACCAGGAACGGAACGGACGGCCAGACAAACCUCUAGUAGAAUAACAUAUCCAGAGACGACGCGUUUAGAUUGCAAAGAUGCACUUGUACGCCAUUUAACAGUCGAGAACAAACCGAUUUAUACUCGGGCGUGUUGGUCUCCUCAAACUGAGGAACGCAUCGCCGCUCGCCUCCCACUUUGUCGCGCUGCGUAUGAUGUAUGACGCUGCAGGGUAUGAAGCAGCUGAGGUCCGUUUAAAGCUUUAAACUCAAAACAGACUCCAGGAGAAAGAAGGACGAGGAAGUGCACGAGGAAAGACGGAUGGGGGGUGGGGUUUGACCUCUGACAGUCAGAUGGAAGGAGGGGAGCUGUCUUCUGAAGAAUGUUCGACUUUCUCACAUGUAUACACACCACACGCUGACACACACACACACACACACACACACAGGUUGUUGAUUCAGACUCCUGAUGGAGACAUUAUAACAAACAAUUAUAGCUCUGACACACA